rnacentral:rRNA from 1 species
AUUCGUGCCAGCAGUUGCGGUUAUACAAAUAAUAUGACUUAAUUUAUUUAGUUUUAAUUAAUAGAAGUAAUAAAAAAAUUUUAAAAUAAAAUUUAUAAGGUGAAAUUUAAAAUUUUAAUAAAAUUUAUAUAUAAUAAUGAUAUUGAAAAAUUUAAUUUAUAAACUAGGAUUAGAUACCCUAUUAUUUUAAACGUAAAAUUUAACACUAAAUUAGUAAUAGUUAAGUUCUUGAAAAUUAAAGAUUUUGGCGGUAUUUUAGUCUAUUCAGAGGAACCUGUUCUGUAAUUGAUAGUCCACGAUUGAAUUUACUUUUUUUAUUAGUUUGUAUAUCGUCGUAAUUUGAAUAUUUUAAAUGAAAAUUAAUAUUCUAGAUUUUUUAUUAAAAAAUAAAUCAGAUCAAGGUGCAGUUUAUAAAAAAGAAGAAAUGGGUUACAAUAAAUAUAUUUUAGGAUUAUUAUUUGUAAAAUAAUAUGAAUUUGGAUUUGAGAGUAAAAUUAAUAAAUUUAUUAGUUUGAUUUAAGCUCUAGAAUAUGUACACAUCGCCC